rnacentral:rRNA from 1 species
CGAAUGGGGAAACCCAGUGUGACUCGUCACACUAUCAUUAACUGAAUCCAUAGGUUAAUGAGGCGAACCGGGGGAACUGAAACAUCUAAGUACCCCGAGGAAAAGAAAUCAACCGAGAUUCCCCCAGUAGCGGCGAGCGAACGGGGAGGAGCCCAGAGCCUGAAUCAGCAUGUGUGUUAGUGGAAGCGUCUGGAAAGGCGCGCGAUACAGGGUGACAGCCCCGUACACAAAAGCGCAUGUGCUGUGAGCUCGAUGAGUAGGGCGGGACACGUGGUAUCCUGUCUGAAUAUGGGGGGACCAUCCUCCAAGGCUAAAUACUCCUGACUGACCGAUAGUGAACCAGUACCGUGAGGGAAAGGCGAAAAGAACCCCGGCGAGGGGAGUGAAAAAGAACCUGAAACCGUGUACGUACAAGCAGUGGGAGCACCCUUUGGGUGUGACUGCGUACCUUUUGUAUAAUGGGUCAGCGACUUAUAUUCUGUAGCAAGGUUAACCGAAUAGGGGAGCCGGAGGGAAACCGAGUCUUAAUUGGGCGUUAAGUUGCAGGGUAUAGACCCGAAACCCGGUGAUCUAGCCAUGGGCAGGUUGAAGGUUGGGUAACACUAACUGGAGGACCGAACCGACUAAUGUUGAAAAAUUAGCGGAUGACCUGUGGCUGGGGGUGAAAGGCCAAUCAAACCGGGAGAUAGCUGGUUCUCCCCGAAAGCUAUUUAGGUAGCGCCUCGUGAAUUCAUCUCCGGGGGUAGAGCACUGUUUCGGCUAGGGGGCCAUCCCGGCUUACCAACCCGAUGCAAACUGCGAAUACCGGAGAAUGUUAUCACGGGAGACACACGGCGGGUGCUAACGUCCGUCGUGAAGAGGGAAACAACCCAGACCGCCAGCUAAGGUCCCAAAGUCAUGGUUAAGUGGGAAACGAUGUGGGAAGGCCCAGACAGCCAGGAUGUUGGCUUAGAAGCAGCCAUCAUUUAAAGAAAGCGUAAUAGCUCACUGGUCGAGUCGGCCUGCGCGGAAGAUGUAACGGGGCUAAACCAUGCACCGAAGCUGCGGCAGCGACACUGUGUGUUGUUGGGUAGGGGAGCGUUCUGUAAGCCUGUGAAGGUGUGUCGUGAGGCAUGCUGGAGGUAUCAGAAGUGCGAAUGCUGACAUAAGUAACGAUAAAGCGGGUGAAAAGCCCGCUCGCCGGAAGACCAAGGGUUCCUGUCCAACGUUAAUCGGGGCAGGGUGAGUCGACCCCUAAGGCGAGGCCGAAAGGCGUAGUCGAUGGGAAACGGGUUAAUAUUCCCGUACUUGGUGUUACUGCGAAGGGGGGACGGAGAAGGCUAUGUUGGCCGGGCGACGGUUGUCCCGGUUUAAGCGUGUAGGUGUGUGUUCCAGGUAAAUCCGGUUCACUUUAACACUGAGGCGUGACGACGAGGCACUACGGUGCUGAAGCAACAAAUGCCCUGCUUCCAGGAAAAGCCUCUAAGCAUCAGGUAACAUCAAAUCGUACCCCAAACCGACACAGGUGGUCAGGUAGAGAAUACCAAGGCGCUUGAGAGAACUCGGGUGAAGGAACUAGGCAAAAUGGUGCCGUAACUUCGGGAGAAGGCACGCUGACACGUAGGUGAAGUGAUUUACUCAUGGAGCUGAAGUCAGUCGAAGAUACCAGCUGGCUGCAACUGUUUAUUAAAAACACAGCACUGUGCAAACACGAAAGUGGACGUAUACGGUGUGACGCCUGCCCGGUGCCGGAAGGUUAAUUGAUGGGGUCAGCGCAAGCGAAGCUCCUGAUCGAAGCCCCGGUAAACGGCGGCCGUAACUAUAACGGUCCUAAGGUAGCGAAAUUCCUUGUCGGGUAAGUUCCGACCUGCACGAAUGGCGUAAUGAUGGCCAGGCUGUCUCCACCCGAGACUCAGUGAAAUUGAACUCGCUGUGAAGAUGCAGUGUACCCGCGGCAAGACGGAAAGACCCCGUGAACCUUUACUAUAGCUUGACACUGAACAUUGAGCCUUGAUGUGUAGGAUAGGUGGGAGGCUUUGAAGUGUGGACGCCAGUCUGCAUGGAGCCGACCUUGAAAUACCACCCUUUAAUGUUUGAUGUUCUAACGUGGACCCGUUACCCGGGUUGCGGACAGUGUCUGGUGGGUAGUUUGACUGGGGCGGUCUCCUCCUAAAGAGUAACGGAGGAGCACGAAGGUUGGCUAAUCCUGGUCGGACAUCAGGAGGUUAGUGCAAUGGCAUAAGCCAGCUUGACUGCGAGCGUGACGGCGCGAGCAGGUGCGAAAGCAGGUCAUAGUGAUCCGGUGGUUCUGAAUGGAAGGGCCAUCGCUCAACGGAUAAAAGGUACUCCGGGGAUAACAGGCUGAUACCGCCCAAGAGUUCAUAUCGACGGCGGUGUUUGGCACCUCGAUGUCGGCUCAUCACAUCCUGGGGCUGAAGUAGGUCCCAAGGGUAUGGCUGUUCGCCAUUUAAAGUGGUACGCGAGCUGGGUUUAGAACGUCGUGAGACAGUUCGGUCCCUAUCUGCCGUGGGCGCUGGAGAACUGAGGGGGGCUGCUCCUAGUACGAGAGGACCGGAGUGGACGCAUCACUGGUGUUCGGGUUGUCAUGCCAAUGGCACUGCCCGGUAGCUAAAUGCGGAAGAGAUAAGUGCUGAAAGCAUCUAAGCACGAAACUUGCCCCGA